GACGGAGGGUGCGAGCGUUGUUCGGAUUGACUGGGCGUAAAGGGCGUGUAGGCGGUUGGUCAAGUCUGAUGUGAAAGCCCGGAGCUCAGCUCCGGAAGUGCAUCGGAAACUAGCUGGCUGGAGCGCGAUAGAGGAGGGGUGGAAUUCCUGGUGUAGCGGUGAAAUGCGUAGAUAUCAGGAGGAACACCGGCGGCGAAGGCGGCCCUCUGGAUCGUUGCUGACGCUGAGACGCGAAAGCGUGGGGGAGCAAACAGG
rnacentral:rRNA from 1 species